AAAUGAUCACCAAGUCAAGGGGAUCAAGAGUUUGACUCUUGACAAGCUAGAUGAAGGCUUGGGAGGAAGCGGGUCAAAUGGAGCAAGUACGAAAAGAAAACGUUGCUUGGAUGCAAG